rnacentral:rRNA from 1 species
GAUGAACGCUGGCGGCGUGCUUGAUACAUGCAAGUCGAACGGAGAGUGUAGCAAUAUACUUUUAGUGGCGAACGGGUGAGUAACGCGUUGGUGACCUGCCCCCGAAGCGAGGGAUAACAGUUCGAAAGAACUGCUAAUACCUCAUGUGAUCACCGGUUUUUAGAAUCUGGUGAUUAAAGGUGAAAAUCACUUCGGGAGGGGCCUGCGUCCCAUCAGCUAGUUGGUAAGGUAAUGGCUUACCAAGGCGAUGACGGGUAGGGGACCUGAGAGGGUGGCCCCCCACAAUGGAACUGAAACACGGUCCAUACACCUACGGGUGGCAGCAGUAGGGAAUAUUGCAAAUGGGCGAAAGCCUGAUGUAGCAACGCCGCGUGUGCGAUGAAGGUCUUCGGAUUGUAAAGCACUUUUUGGAGGGAUGAGGAAGGACAGUACCUCCAGAAUAAGCCUCGGCUAACUACGUGCCAGCAGCCGCGGUAAGCUAAGUCUACG